rnacentral:rRNA from 1 species
CUACGGGGGGCACCAGUGGGGAAUUUUGGACAAUGGGGGCAACCCUGAUCCAGCCAUGCCGCGUGAGUGAAGAAGGCCUUCGGGUUGUAAAGCUCUUUCAGCCGGGAAGAAAUCGCAUGGGUCAAUACCCUGUGCGGAUGACGGUACCGGAAUAAGAAGCACCGGCUAACUACGUGCCAGCAGCCGCGGUAAUACGUAGGGUGCGAGCGUUAAUCGGAAUUACUGGGCGUAAAGCGUGCGCAGGCGGAUGCUUAAGUCAGAUGUGAAAUCCCCGGGCUUAACCUGGGAAUUGCAUUUGAAACUGGGUGUCUAGAGUGCGUCAGAGGGGGGUGGAAUUCCACGUGUAGCAGUGAGAUGCGUAGCUAUGUGGAGGAACACCAAUGGCGAAGGCAGCCCCCUGGGAUGACACUGACGCUCAUGCACGAAAGCGUGGGGAGCAAACAGGAUUAGAUACCCUAGUAGUC